UACGUAGGGUGCAAGCGUUGUCCGGAAUUAUUGGGCGUAAAGAGCUCGUAGGCGGUUUGUCGCGUCGAAUGUGAAAACCCGGGGCUCAACCCCGGGCCUGCAUCCGAUACUCCCGGGCUGGAGGCAGGUAGGGGAGAUCGGAAUUCCUGGUGUAGCGGUGAAAUGCGCAGAUAUCAGGAGGAACACCGGUGGCGAAGGCGGAUCUCUGGGCCUUGCCUGACGCUGAGGCGCGAAAGCUAGGGGAGCGAACAGG
rnacentral:rRNA from 1 species